rnacentral:rRNA from 1 species
GACGAACGCUGGCGGCGUGCUUAACACAUGCAAGUCGAACGGAAAGGCCCUGCUUUUGUGGUGUGCUCGAGUGGCGAACGGGUGAGUAACACGUGAGUAACCUGCCCUUGACUUUGGGAUAACUUCAGGAAACUGGGGCUAAUACCGGAUAGGAGCUCCUGCUGCAUUGUGGGGAUUGGAAAUUUUCGGCGGUUGGGGAUGGACUCGCGGCUUAUCAGCUUGUUGGUGGGGUAGUGGCUUACCAAGGCUUUGACGGGUAGCCGGCCUGAGAGGGUGACCGGCCACAUUGGGCCUGAGAUACGGCCCAGACUCCUACGGGAGGCAGCAGUGGGGAAUAUUGCACAAUGGGCGGAAGCCUGAUGCAGCAACGCCGCGUGCGGGAUGACGGCCUUCGGGUUGUAAACCGCUUUCGCCUGUGACGAAGCGUGAGUGACGGUAAUGGGUAAAGAAGCACCGGCUAACUACGUG